rnacentral:rRNA from 1 species
UACGAAGGGUGCUAGCGUUGUUCGGAAUCACUGGGCGUAAAGGGUGCGUAGGCGGCUAAACAAGUCAGAGGUGAAAGCCUGGAGCUUAACUCCAGAACUGCCUUUGAGACUGUUUGGCUAGAGUGUCGGAGGGGAUAGCGGAAUUGCUAAUGUAGCGGUGAAAUGCGUAGAUAUUAGCAGGAACACCGGUGGCGAAGGCGGCUAUCUGGACGACAACUGACGCUGAGGCACGAAAGCGUGGGGAUCAAACAGG